rnacentral:rRNA from 1 species
UACGUAGGGGGCAAGCGUUGUCCGGAAUCAUUGGGCGUAAAGAGCGCGUAGGCGGUCCGAUAAGUCGGCUGUGAAAGUCAAGGGCUCAACCCUUGAAAGCCGGCCGAUACUGUCGGACUAGAGUCCGGAAGAGGCGAGUGGAAUUCCCGGUGUAGCGGUGAAAUGCGCAGAUAUCGGGAGGAACACCAAUGGCGAAGGCAGCUCGCUGGGACGUGACUGACGCUGAGGCGCGAAAGCGUGGGGAGCGAACAGG